rnacentral:rRNA from 1 species
AUGAACGCUAGCUACAGGCUUAACACAUGCAAGUCGAGGGGCAGCAUUUUAGUUUGCUUGCAAACUAAAGAUGGCGACCGGCGCACGGGUGAGUAACACGUAUCCAACCUGCCGAUAACUCGGGGAUAGCCUUUCGAAAGAAAGAUUAAUAUCCGAUAGUAUAUUAAAACCGCAUGAUUUUACUAUUAAAGAAUUUCGGUUAUCGAUGGGGAUGCGUUCCAUUAGUUUGUUGGCGGGGUAACGGCCCACCAAGACUACGAUGGAUAGGGGUUCUGAGAGGAAGGUCCCCCACAUUGGAACUGAGACACGGUCCAAACUCCUACGGGAGGCAGCAGUGAGGAAUAUUGGUCAAUGGACGAGAGUCUGAACCAGCCAAGUAGCGUGAAGGAUGACUGCCCUAUGGGUUGUAAACUUCUUUUAUAUGGGAAUAAAGUAUUCCACGUGUGGGAUUUUGUAUGUACCAUAUGAAUAAGGAUCGGCUAACUCCGUGCCAGCAGCCGCGGUAAUACGGAGGAUCCGAGCGUUAUCCGGAUUUAUUGGGUUUAAAGGGAGCGUAGGUGGAUUGUUAAGUCAGUUGUGAAAGUUUGCGGCUCAACCGUAAAAUUGCAGUUGAAACUGGCAGUCUUGAGUACAGUAGAGGUGGGCGGAAUUCGUGGUGUAGCGGUGAAAUGCUUAGAUAUCACGAAGAACUCCGAUUGCGAAGGCAGCUCACUAGACUGCAACUGACACUGAUGCUCGAAAGUGUGGGUAUCAAACAGGAUUAGAUACCCUGGUAGUCCACACAGUAAACGAUGAAUACUCGCUGUUUGCGAUAUACAGUAAGCGGCCAAGCGAAAGCAUUAAGUAUUCCACCUGGGGAGUACGCCGGCAACGGUGAAACUCAAAGGAAUUGACGGGGGCCCGCACAAGCGGAGGAACAUGUGGUUUAAUUCGAUGAUACGCGAGGAACCUUACCCGGGCUUAAAUUGCAUUUGAAUAAUCUGGAAACAGGUUAGCCGCAAGGCAAAUGUGAAGGUGCUGCAUGGUUGUCGUCAGCUCGUGCCGUGAGGUGUCGGCUUAAGUGCCAUAACGAGCGCAACCCUUAUCUUUAGUUACUAACAGGUUAUGCUGAGGACUCUAGAGAGACUGCCGUCGUAAGAUGUGAGGAAGGUGGGGAUGACGUCAAAUCAGCACGGCCCUUACGUCCGGGGCUACACACGUGUUACAAUGGGGGGUACAGAAGGCAGCUACCUGGCGACAGGAUGCUAAUCCCAAAAACCUCUCUCAGUUCGGAUCGAAGUCUGCAACCCGACUUCGUGAAGCUGGAUUCGCUAGUAAUCGCGCAUCAGCCAUGGCGCGGUGAAUACGUUCCCGGGCCUUGUACACACCGCCCGUCAAGCCAUGAAAGCCGGGGGUACCUGAAGUACGUAACCGCAAGGAGCGUCCUAGGGUAAAACUGGUAAUUGGGGCU